rnacentral:rRNA from 1 species
UACAGAGGUGGCAAGCGUUGUUCGGAAUUACUGGGCGUAAAGGGCGCGUAGGCGGCCUUCUUAGUCGGACGUGAAAUCCCCGGGCUUAACUCGGGAACUGCGUCCGAUACUGGAAGGCUGGAGUUCGGGAGAGGAAUGUGGAAUUCCAGGUGUAGCGGUGAAAUGCGUAGAUAUCUGGAGGAACAUCUGUGGCGAAGGCGACACCCUGGACCAGCACUGACACUGAGGCACGAAAGCGUGGGGAGCAAACAGG